AGGCAGAGAGGGCGUGUUAAUCAGUAUUUGUCAGUGGUACAUAUUUUUAAUUUACCAUGUAAUGUAAGGCAUGCUGUAUUGUAACUUGGAGAUGUUUGUAAUGUUCAUCCAGGCCACUAGAGGGCGAUAGUUGUGCUUGUUGUAUGAUGUUCAGCCCAUGUGGCUGGAAGUAAACGGCUGCAGUAAGACAGACCAUGAUAUUUUUUGCUGUUUAUUCUAAAGCCAUCCACCCAUUUCCAGCACUUUGAGUGGCUAUAUGAGAUGACCACCAUCAAAUUUCCGCUGGUCCAGAAUCUGAAGUCACAGAAGUGUCCAACAUGUUGCAAACAAGGUUUGGAGUUACAGGUUGAGCAGAGUGGAGCUUUGGUCCAGAAGGGAGUUUGGAUUCUCUACACGGAUCCUGUUUAUGUCAUCAACACCAAACUGAAGCUCUCUGGCCAACUCUGACAGCAAGAAAAGGACAAAAAGAAAAAAAAUAUGAUAUUCUAUUGUAUGUAAAACAACUUUAAUGACAAACAUGAUUUCUGGUGUUGUUUUUGGAUUGUUUACCUGCCCAACUCAAACCCAACUGCUCAGAUAUAAUGUUGAUUUUGAUCUCUGUCCUCUCCAUGGCGUUGACUGUUACUAAAAAUAAAAAAUAAAAUAAAA